rnacentral:rRNA from 1 species
UACGAAGGGGGCUAGCGUUGUUCGGAAUUACUGGGCGUAAAGCGCACGUAGGCGGAUUUGUAAGUCAGGUGUGAAAUCCCGGGGCUCAACCUCGGAACUGCCUUUGAUACUGCAAGUCUCGAGUCCGAUAGAGGUGAGUGGAAUUCCUAGUGUAGAGGUGAAAUUCGUAGAUAUUAGGAAGAACACCAGUGGCGAAGGCGGCUCACUGGAUCGGUACUGACGCUGAGGUGCGAAAGCGUGGGGAGCAAACAGG